UUCCAAAGUGUUGAGUUCAGUUCAGGCAGCUUCCCUGUUCUGUUAAUUAAACUUUGGCACAUUGAAAUAGGCUAGAGGAGACUACUGGAUAGAGAGUAUUACUCUGUUCACUUACCUCCCAGCCUACAAAA
ensembl:snoRNA